GGGGAAUCUUGCACAAUGGGGGCAACCCUGAUGCAGCGACGCCGCGUGAGCGAUGAAGCCCUUCGGGGCGUAAAGCUCUUUCGACCGGAACGAUAAUGACGGUACCGGGAGAAGAAGCUGCGGCUAACUACGUGCCAGCAGCCGCGGUAAUACGUAGGCAGCAAGCGUUGUUCGGAUUCACUGGGUUUAAGGGGUGCGUAGGCGGAUAUGUAAGUCAGUGGUGAAAUCAACGGGCUCAACCUGUUAACUGCCAUUGAUACUGUGUAUCUUGAAUAUGAGAGAGGUAGGCGGAAUGUUGCAUGUAGCGGUGAAAUGCUUAGAUAUGCUACGGAACACCGAUUGCGAAGGCAGCUUACUAUUUCGUAAUUGACGCUGAGGCACGAAAGCGUGGGUAGCGAACA
rnacentral:rRNA from 1 species